CACGCCGUAAACGUUGGGCACUAGGUGUGGGGUCUUUUCAACGGAUUCCGUGCCGUCGCUAACGCAUUAAGUGCCCCGCCUGGGGAGUACGGCCGCAAGGCUAAAACUCAAAGGAAUUGACGGGGGCCCGCACAAGCAGCGGAGCAUGUUGCUUAAUUCGAGGCAACGCGAAGAACCUUACCUGGGUUUGACAUGUAGAGAAAAGCCACAGAGAUGUGGUGUCCUUCGGGGUUCUACACAGGUGG
rnacentral:rRNA from 2 species